rnacentral:rRNA from 1 species
AGCGGCGGACGGGUGAGUAACACGUGGGUAACCUGCCCAAGAGACUGGGAUAACACCUGGAAACAGAUGCUAAUACCGGAUAACAACACUAGACGCAUGUCUAGAGUUUGAAAGAUGGUUCUGCUAUCACUCUUGGAUGGACCUGCGGUGCAUUAGCUAGUUGGUAAGGUAACGGCUUACCAAGGCAAUGAUGCAUAGCCGAGUUGAGAGACUGAUCGGCCACAUUGGGACUGAGACACGGCCCAAACUCCUACGGGAGGCAGCAGUAGGGAAUCUUCCACAAUGGACGAAAGUCUGAUGGAGCAACGCCGCGUGAGUGAAGAAGGGUUUCGGCUCGUAAAGCUCUGUUGGUAGUGAAGAAAGAUAGAGGUAGUAACUGGCCUUUAUUUGACGGUAAUUACUUAGAAAGUCACGGCUAACUACGUGCCAGCAGCCGCGGUAAUACGUAGGUGGCAAGCGUUGUCCGGGUUUAUUGGGCGUAAAGCGAGUGCAGGCGGUUCAAUAAGUCUGAUGUGAAAGCCUUCGGCUCAACCGGAGAAUUGCAUCAGAAACUGUUGAACUUGAGUGCAGAAGAGGAGAGUGGAACUCCAUGUGUAGCGGUGGAAUGCGUAGAUAUAUGGAAGAACACCAGUGGCGAAGGCGGCUCUCUGGUCUGCAACUGACGCUGAGGCUCGAAAGCAUGGGUAGCGAACAGGAUUAGAUACCCUGGUAGUCCAUGCCGUAAACGAUGAGUGCUAAGUGU